rnacentral:snoRNA from 1 species
AGGCUGUGUGUGAUGAUAGCAUAGUUCAGCAGAUGACCCGUGCUGAUCACUUUCUUUCGCUCCUAUCUGAUGCAGCCU